AUGGCUGCCAGCCCAGAGCCACUGCAGAGGAAGGCAGUUACAGUGGGCUUUCCUGAGUUGAGUCUGAUUCCUGUUGACCUUCCAGAGUCAAGUCAGGUGCCCGUUGACUUUCCAGAGUUGAGUCAGUUUCCGGUUGACCCUCCAGAGUCGAGUCAGGUGUUCAUGGAUCCUCCAGAGUCAGGGUUAGUCACUGUCGACCUUCCAGAGUCACAGUUAGUCACCAUCCACCCUCCAGAGUCAGGGUUAGUCACCGUUGACCUUCCAGAGUCAGGGCUAGUUUCUGUUGACCCUCCAGAGUCGAGACAGGUGUUCGUGGACCCUCCAGAGUCAGAGGCAGUCACCGUCGACCCUCCAGAGUCAGGGUUAGACACCAUUGAUCUUCCAGAGUCAGGGUUAAUCACCUUUGACCUUCCAGAGUCAGGGUUAGCUAUCAUGGACUUUCCAGAGACAAGGCUAGUCACCGUUGACCUUUCAGAAUCAAGUCAAGUCACUGGUUAUCUUCAAGGACAGAGUCAAGUCACUGGUGAUCUUCAAGGACAGAGUCAAGUCUCCGGUGAUCUUCAAGGACUGAGUCAACUCACCGGUGAUCUUCAUGAACAAAUGCAAGUCACCAAUAAUCUUCAUGAGCAGAGUCAACUCAGCACCGAUCUUCUGGAAUCCAGUAGAAACACCAUAGGAUUACCAGAGGUUCGUCCUCCCGUUGGUCUAGACACACGGAUGUGGUGGUCUUCUGCUCCGCCCUGGAGGGCUUCUGCCUUGACCACAUGGUUGUGGUGGUCUUCUGUUCCGCCCUGGUGGGCAUCACGUGAUGUCCUUCAUGGACAUAUGUUUUUGUUUUUAUUUUCUUUUGUUUUUCUGUCUGUUUCCUUUGGACCUGGCCCUCUGUCCCUCCCCCUGAUCCUCCGCCGGUCCACCACCCUCCUGGACUCCUUGUUUUGUGUUACACUUCUCUUGUCUCGGUCUUUCCAUUUUACCUGGUUCUCCUGUCUCUGUGAACUAUGUUUUCUGGCCCUCCCUCCCUCCCCCUAG
rnacentral:lncRNA from 1 species